rnacentral:lncRNA from 1 species
CUACCUCACUCUCCUCCCCCAAAUCACACGGCACUGCAGCCCUCCCCGUCGCCUCCUCUUACCUCAGUCUCCUCCCCCAAACUAGACGGCGUUGUAGCCCUCCCCGUCGCCGUCGCCCACUGCUCACCGGAGCCGGCGGCCGCCGCCGCGGGGGAGGCCGCGACGACGAGGAGCUCGGCGGCGAGCGCGUGGAGCCGGAACGGGGUGCGGUUGCGGCGACAUCCUCCAUGGCCGGCAGCAAGCGGAUCUGCUACAGCGUCGGUGAUGAAGACCUCCAUGGCUGGCGGUAGGGGUGCGCCGAGCACGUCGUCGUCCACAGCCGGCUGA